UUAGUACUCCCUCCGUCCCAAAAUUCUUGUCUUACAUUUGUCUAUAUAUGAAUGUAUCUAGUCACAUUUUAGUAUUUGGAUACAUUCAUUUUUAGACAGACCUAAGACAAGAAUUUUGGGACGGAGGGAGUAGAAC
rnacentral:pre_miRNA from 1 species